rnacentral:lncRNA from 1 species
UAACAUUCCCAAUCUAAACCCUUAUCCCCCACUUCGUAAAACCCAAAUUUGCAGUAUAUUCCAAUUUACAAAAACCCCUAAAUUGAAACCCUUAAUCGCGAGUCCUGUUGUCAAGAAACCGAUUGAGAACAGUGGGCUUCUUGUGUCGCGACGAAGUCGGAGAUUGAACCUCUGUGGAGGCGCCGCCUCUACAACCCUCUUUGCAAAACUCCAACAAACCCAUCAUUCAAUUUUUC